rnacentral:lncRNA from 1 species
AUGGCAGAGCCUGUGAGCUUCGAGGUGGCCAGGGUGUUUCCAGCCAAAGAAGUUAUAUUCCACAUGAUCCUGGGAGACCAGGAGCUGAGCCCCUUCUUCUCCUGGAAGGGAGACACAGUGUGGGCCAAUGCCACUGUUUGGGCCAUGGAGACUGGUGACCAGGAGCUGUCAUGCUUUGUGUCUCUGGGUCCAGUGGAACAGAAAACAAGGCAGCUAGUGCAUGUCUAUAGUUUCCCUCCACCAGUCCUAGAGAUAGAAGAAUCACACUCCCUGGCAGGGACAGAUGUUAAUGUAACCUGCUCAGAGCAUAAACUAACAUCACCCAGUCCUACUUUUCGGCUUGAAGGAGCCCCAGAUCUCCCUGCCCCUGGGGAACCUGCCUGGCUUCUGUUUACUGCCAAGGAGGAAGAUGAUGGCCGAAAUUUCUCCUGUGAGGCCUCUUUGGAGGUGCAGGGUCAGCGACUGGUUAAAAUUACUGUGAUUCAGGGCCAGGGAUUUAGCUCAGCUGUUUUGACGCCUGCUGCGCAAGCACAAGGACCCAAGUUCAAUCCCCGGUACCAAAAAAAAAAAAAAAAAAAAAAAUUACUGUGAUUCAGCUCCAUGUUUUAUGUGAGUAGAAGCCUGAUCUUUCUUGUCAAAAAGGAUCAUCUUUCUAUUUCCAGAGAUCUCUGCCAGUAGCUUCAUUAUUAGAGUUGCCACAUUUUUUUUCUAACCAAACAAACAAAUAAACAAAAAAAUCAAAGGAGAAAAUAAAAUGGAAACUCUCCGAGCUUACCUUGCCCCCAGGAAAGUGAGUAUAAAGGAAGAUGAGGGGAAAUGGAGGCUAGAAAGAAAAAUUUUUAAAGCAGUCAGACAGCAGUUGUUGAGGGUGGAUGGCUGAGAAGAACAUUAAAAAGGCAUGGUGCUGUACACCUGUAAUCCCAGCACUUGGGAGGCUGAGGCAGACAGGUUCCUGUGAGUUCAAGGCCAGCCUGAACUAAUAUCAAGACCCUGUCUCACAAAAGCAAUACAUAAAUCAAAUAAAAGCAAAAGGAUUAGUGGAGCUGAUGCUAAGGAGGGAAAUUUCCAUAUCAAAAUUUGUAUUUUGAAAAGUGAGAGGGCCGGGGAUUUAGCUCAGUGGUUCUGCCGCCUUCCUCGAAAGUGCAAGGUCCUAAGUUCGAUCUCUGGUACCAAAGAAAAAAAAAUCCACAUUUCUGAGUUUGUCCCUACCCACUGAGAAGCUAAGAUAGGAAACAGGGGCUCCAGGCCCCCACUGAUAGCAAUGGUUUACCAUUUAGUCUGAAUGCAUAAAAAUACCCUAGGUUUCAUCUCAGGCUGCUUGUCCAAAUGGAAGAAAGGGGAAUUGGUUCAAAGCAGGAAACUGAUAGUCUUUCCCUUGGAAAGAAGUUUGUUAAGGAAAUAGCACUUAGGUUGGGCAAGGAGGGUGAGCUGAGCGUGGAGGUUAGGAGGGAAAAGGGCACACAAGAGCUGGCUUCCUUGAGGGAUUCAUUUUUUUUGCAGACAAUCCCAGGUUAGAAGAAUCUGGUUGCCCUGGCAAGCAGACAUGGGUAAAAGGAAGGAGCAGAUGCUUGCUUGUGUCCCAGAGGGAAACCCAGCUCCAGCUUUAGUGUGUACCUGGAAUGGGAUUAUCACUGACCUUGAAGUACCACAGAAAGCGACCCAGAACCACACUGGAAUCUACCGCUGCACAGCCACUAACCAGCUGGGCUCUGUAAGCAAAGACAUUGCUGUUAUUGUUCAAGGUGACUGCUGCUCCCCUGCUGCUAGGCUUGGGAUAGAAAUCCACCAGGGGUUUGGUAAAAUCAUAGAAAGAUUUUACUGGACUGGGGAAGGUGAGACUGAGAAUUGGGCUUGGUGGGCUGAGGUGCGAUGAUUCUCUUGUCUUUAACCCGCCAUCCCCAAUUUCUAUAUCUUCUGUGUUUUGGCCAGGACCCAAUGAAGGAAGCAGUUCUACCAUCUUCUUCAUUAUUAUUGUCCUCCUUGCAUUGGUUAUAAACAGAACAGCACAGUAUUAUAAUUGUUGGCCCUGCAAAAUAAAGAAGAGGAAAUUGCCUUAUUGGCAGAAAGAGCAGAACAAAGCGGAGGAAAACCAGUUUGCUGUUCAACAAGCAGAAAUGUGCAAUUCAUAUAAUUUUUGUCUAGAAUCAGGUCUUUGGGUGAAUAAGAUUUCUACUAUUGGAGUUUCCCAAGGAGGGAAGAGUGGAUCAAGGAAAAAGGAAGAAACAUUGUGAGACUGCAUUACCCUUCAUGUUCUGCUGUUCAUGUUCCCAUGUCCUGUGUGUCCAAUCCAUGCACACGUUUUUCUGAGUUUAUUCCAGUCAGUAGGAAUUUUAGUUCAGUGUUCAGCUAGUGAGAGGACCUUUUUCUCCUUGCUAUGUGCUUAGUCUGUUCUUAGAUUAAAAAAGAUUUUGCAAUGGCCUCUUCAUUCCCACUGCUCUCUUCUCAAACAGACUAAAGAGGUAAUCAGGAAUAUUUUAGGAGUACAGUUCACUUCUCAUGGGUUCCUGAUGGCUAAAUGGGAACUAAUUUCUUAGUCCAGUGACAGAACUUCAAAGGGGCUACCAAUCAAAGGGCUAGGAAUCAGAACUCUGUUCUUAUUCCCUUGCUCCCCUAAGCUAGGGUUCUGGAAUGCCAGCUCCCAUAGCUGAGCUUGAUGAAGCCAUGAGGGGCCAGUGGUGGUUAUGUCACCAGACAGAGUCUGAGGAAGUCUCCAAAAUGGAGAUGGGGAGCCCAUGGGACAGGUUGCAGGUUCACUGACUUCCAUCACAGAAAAAGAAUCUUGGACCGGGGAUUUAGCUCAGUGGUUCUCUUGCCUGCCUUGCAAGCGCAAGUUUCCAAGUUCAAUCCCUGGUACCAAAAAACAAAAACAAAAGCAGAAAAAGAAUCUUCAGGAGACAUCAGUAAGAUGCAUAAAGGGAUUUAUUAGGCAUAAUCUUUAAAGUACAUACUCAAAGAAAUAAAAGUGCAGGCCCUCAAGACAGAGGUGUGCUAAUGGCCCUGAGCUGGGUAUAUUUAUGGGGAAUUUAGGAGUAGAAAUCUAUAGAACUUGUGAAUCUAUGAUGAGAGGAUUCAAUUUAUAGCUGAAAGGUGACAGCUCUUUCUGCAGGGGGAGGAUGUGGUGGCUCAUUCAGAUAGGGUAGCGAUCAGCAAUCACUGGUGACAGAGCUGCAGCCCAUCUCCAGGGAAAGGCCAAUUUUACAGGUGAAAAGAGGUGAUUUAUUUAUAGGUAACAGACCCAUCUACAGGUAAAAGGGAAUGGCCCCAGUUCAUCUGCAGGUAUAAGGAAAUGGCCCAGGCUUAUUAUAUCUUGGGAGAAAAUUUUUUAAAAACUAGAUUUAUAUCUUGAAGUUACAGUUUUCAUUUUUAAAGUUAUGAUUCUGUCUCCUUUCUACCCGUAUUUCUAUCCUACUUCAUCCCGUACCCCCAGAUUUUGAUACUUUAUUCUUAAGGGCUGCAGAGGGGCCUAGAUAUCUUUUUUCUUUUAACUGCAUCAGGUUGAGAUGGGGCUGACCUUACCUAACCCAGACUCAAGUCUCAUCUUGACUGAACUAAAAGAUAUAGGAAGAUAGGAUUCGUUAUCAGUAUGUCAUUGAGGCUUAAGGAAGAAUCUGACAUUACAUUAAUUUGUACAUAUAGGUUUUAUAAUGCAGAAGACAUUUGCAGAAUUGUCAGAAAUAUAUACACAACAUUGUUUCAAUAAUAGCACAGGUGAGUGUCAGCAAGACUAGGAGCUGGAGAAGUCUGGAAGAUAUGAGUAUUACAAUCAUGUUAAACAAGAGCCACAAAUUAAAAAUAGAAUGAUGAAUUAUCUUUAAUAUUAACAUACAUGUUUUGAGGUGUUUAAGUACAACAGGUGGAGUAUAAUAUAUAGACUCUUCCUUGUUUUGUUAAUAAGAAAUCUAAUUUUAAAAUUUUAAUUAUAAUAUACCCAAAGAAUGAAAUAAAGAUUAUCUUUUUUUGUUUGUUGUUUUUGAGACAGGGUCUUGCUUUGUAGUUCAGGCUGGCCUCAAACUCAUAGCU